GAGCCCAUGGUCUAGUGGUUAUGACGUAACCUUGACGUGGUUGAAGUCCCAGGUUCGACUCCUGGUGGGCUCA
rnacentral:tRNA from 1 species